CGGCGGACGGGUGGAGUAAGCGUGGGUAACCUGCCUCAUACAGGGGGAUAACAGUUGGAAACGGCUGCUAAUACCGCAUAAGCGCACAGUACCGCAUGGUACGGUGUGAAAAACUCCGGUGGUAUGAGAUGGACCCGCGUCUGAUUAGGUAGUUGGUGGGGUAACGGCCUACCAAGCCGACGAUCAGUAGCCGACCUGAGAGGGUGACCGGCCACAUUGGGACUGAGACACGGCCCAA
rnacentral:rRNA from 1 species